rnacentral:rRNA from 1 species
UACGGAGGGGGCGAGUGUUGUUCGGAAUUACUGGGCGUAAAGCGUGCGCAGGCGGCGCCGCAAGUCGAGUGUGAAAUCCCCGAGCUUAACUUGGGAAUUGCGCUCGAAACUACGGUGCUGGAGUGUGGCAGAGGGAGGUGGAAUUCCACGUGUAGCGGUGAAAUGCGUAGAGAUGUGGAGGAACACCGAUGGCGAAGGCAGCCUCCUGGGCCAACACUGACGCUCAUGCACGAAAGCGUGGGGAGCAAACAGG